rnacentral:misc_RNA from 1 species
GAAAUGCGAUAAGUAAUGUGAAUUACAGAAUUCAGUGAAUCAUCGAAUCUUUGAACGCACAUUGCGCCCGCCAGUAUUCUGGCGGGCAUGCCUGUUCGAGCGUCAUUUCAACCAUCAAGCCCCGCGCUUGUGUUGGGGACCUGCGGCUGCCGCAGGCCCUGAAAACCAGUGGCGGGCUCGCUGUCACACCGGGCGUAGUAGAUUUUAUCUCGCUCAGGGCGUGCUGCGGGUUCCGGCCGUUAAAAAGCCUUUUUUACCCAAGGUUGACCUCGGAUCAGGUAGGAAGACCCGCUGAACUUAAGC